UUAAGCGACUAAGCGUACACGGUGGAUGCCCUGGCAGUCAGAGGCGAUGAAGGACGUGCUAAUCUGCGAAAAGCGUCGGUAAGGUGAUAUGAACCGUUACAGCCGGCGAUGUCCGAAUGGGGAAACCCAGUGCAAUUCGUUGCACUAUCGUUAACUGAAUACAUAGGUUAACGAGGCGAACCGGGGGAACUGAAACAUCUAAGUACCCCGAGGAAAAGAAAUCAACCGAGAUUCCCCCAGUAGCGGCGAGCGAACGGGGAGCAGCCCAGAGUCUGAAUCAGCUUGUGUGUUAGUGGAACGGUCUGGAAAGUCCGACGGUACAGGGUGAUAGUCCCGUACACCAAAAUGCACAGGCUGUGAACUCGAAGAGUAGGGCGGGACACGUGGUAUCCUGUCUGAAUAUGGGGGGACCAUCCUCCAAGGCUAAAUACUCCUGACUGACCGAUAGUGAACCAGUACCGUGAGGGAAAGGCGAAAAGAACCCCGGCGAGGGGAGUGAAAAAGAACCUGAAACCGUGUACGUACAAGCAGUGGGAGCACCUUCGGGUGUGACUGCGUACCUUUUGUAUAAUGGGUCAGCGACUUAUAUUCUGUAGCAAGGUUAACCGUAUAGGGGAGCCGCAGGGAAACCGAGUCUUAACUGGGCGUUAAGUUGCAGGGUAUAGACCCGAAACCCGGUGAUCUAGCCAUGGGCAGGUUGAAGGUUGGGUAACACUAACUGGAGGACCGAACCGACUAAUGUUGAAAAAUUAGCGGAUGACUUGUGGCUGGGGGUGAAAGGCCAAUCAAACCGGGAGAUAGCUGGUUCUCCCCGAAAGCUAUUUAGGUAGCGCCUCGUGAACUCAUCUUCGGGGGUAGAGCACUGUUUCGGCUAGGGGGUCAUCCCGACUUACCAACCCGAUGCAAACUACGAAUACCGAAGAAUGUUAUCACGGGAGACACACGGCGGGUGCUAACGUCCGUCGUGAAGAGGGAAACAACCCAGACCGCCAGCUAAGGUCCCAAAGUCAUGGUUAAGUGGGAAACGAUGUGGGAAGGCACAGACAGCCAGGAUGUUGGCUUAGAAGCAGCCAUCAUUUAAAGAAAGCGUAAUAGCUCACUGGUCGAGUCGGCCUGCGCGGAAGAUGUAACGGGGCUAAACCAUGCACCGAAGCUGCGGCAGCGACACUAUGUGUUGUUGGGUAGGGGAGCGUUCUGUAAGCCUGCGAAGGUGACCUGUGAGGGUUGCUGGAGGUAUCAGAAGUGCGAAUGCUGACAUAAGUAACGAUAAAGCGGGUGAAAAGCCCGCUCGCCGGAAGACCAAGGGUUCCUGUCCAACGUUAAUCGGGGCAGGGUGAGUCGACCCCUAAGGCGAGGCCGAAAGGCGUAGUCGAUGGGAAACAGGUUAAUAUUCCUGUACUUGGUGUUACUGCGAAGGGGGGACGGAGAAGGCUAUGUUAGCCGGGCGACGGUUGUCCCGGUUUAAGCAUGUAGGCUGGUUAUCCAGGCAAAUCCGGAUAAUCAAGGCUGAGGUGUGAUGACGAGGCACUACGGUGCUGAAGUAACAAAUGCCCUGCUUCCAGGAAAAGCCUCUAAGCAUCAGGUAACAUCAAAUCGUACCCCAAACCGACACAGGUGGUCAGGUAGAGAAUACCAAGGCGCUUGAGAGAACUCGGGUGAAGGAACUAGGCAAAAUGGUGCCGUAACUUCGGGAGAAGGCACGCUGGUGUGUAGGUGAAGUCCCUGCGGAUGGAGCUGAGACCAGUCGAAGAUACCAGCUGGCUGCAACUGUUUAUUAAAAACACAGCACUGUGCAAACACGAAAGUGGACGUAUACGGUGUGACGCCUGCCCGGUGCCGGAAGGUUAAUUGAUGGGGUUAUCCGUAAGGAGAAGCUCUUGAUCGAAGCCCCGGUAAACGGCGGCCGUAACUAUAACGGUCCUAAGGUAGCGAAAUUCCUUGUCGGGUAAGUUCCGACCUGCACGAAUGGCGUAAUGAUGGCCAGGCUGUCUCCACCCGAGACUCAGUGAAAUUGAACUCGCUGUGAAGAUGCAGUGUACCCGCGGCAAGACGGAAAGACCCCGUGAACCUUUACUAUAGCUUGACACUGAACAUUGAGCCUUGAUGUGUAGGAUAGGUGGGAGGCUUUGAAGCGUGGACGCCAGUCUGCGUGGAGCCAACCUUGAAAUACCACCCUUUAAUGUUUGAUGUUCUAACGUUGGCCCCUGACCGGGGUUGCGGACAGUGUCUGGUGGGUAGUUUGACUGGGGCGGUCUCCUCCCAAAGCGUAACGGAGGAGCACGAAGGUUAGCUAAUCCUGGUCGGACAUCAGGAGGUUAGUGCAAUGGCAUAAGCUAGCUUGACUGCGAGCGUGACGGCGCGAGCAGGUGCGAAAGCAGGUCAUAGUGAUCCGGUGGUUCUGAAUGGAAGGGCCAUCGCUCAACGGAUAAAAGGUACUCCGGGGAUAACAGGCUGAUACCGCCCAAGAGUUCAUAUCGACGGCGGUGUUUGGCACCUCGAUGUCGGCUCAUCACAUCCUGGGGCUGAAGUAGGUCCCAAGGGUAUGGCUGUUCGCCAUUUAAAGUGGUACGCGAGCUGGGUUUAGAACGUCGUGAGACAGUUCGGUCCCUAUCUGCCGUGGGCGCUGGAGAAUUGAGGGGGGCUGCUCCUAGUACGAGAGGACCGGAGUGGACGCAUCACUGGUGUUCGGGUUGUCAUGCCAAUGGCACUGCCCGGUAGCUAAAUGCGGAAGAGAUAAGUGCUGAAAGCAUCUAAGCACGAAACUUGCCCCGAGAUGAGUUCUCCCUGAGACUUUAAGUCUCCUGAAGGAACGUUGAAGACGACGACGUUGAUAGGCCGGGUGUGUAAGCGCAGCGAUGCGUUGAGCUAACCGGUACUAAUGAACCGUGAGGCUUAACCU
rnacentral:rRNA from 1 species